AGUCGAACGGAAAGGCCCUUCGGGGUACUCGAGUGGCGAACGGGUGAGUAACACGUGGGUGAUCUGCCCUGCACUUUGGGAUAAGCCUGGGAAACUGGGUCUAAUACCGAAUAUGACUGCGCACUUCCUGGUGUGUGGUGGAAAGCUUUUGCGGUGUGGGAUGGGCCCGCGGCCUAUCAGCUUGUUGGUGGGGUAAUGGCCUACCAAGGCGACGACGGGUAGCCGGCCUGAGAGGGUGACCGGCCACACUGGGACUGAGAUACGGCCCAGACUCCUACGGGAGGCAGCAGUGGGGAAUAUUGCACAAUGGGCGCAAGCCUGAUGCAGCGACGCCGCGUGAGGGAUGACGGCCUUCGGGUUGUAAACCUCUUUCAAUAGGGACGAAGCGCAAGUGACGGUACCUAUAGAAGAAGGACCGGCCAACUACGUGCCAGCAGCCGCGGUAAUACGUAGGGUCCGAGCGUUGUCCGGAAUUACUGGGCGUAAAGAGCUCGUAGGUGGUUUGUCGCGUUGUUCGUGAAAACUCACAACUCAAUUGUGGGCGUGCGGGCGAUACGGGCAGACUAGAGUACUGCAGGGGAGACUGGAAUUCCUGGUGUAGCGGUGGAAUGCGCAGAUAUCAGGAGGAACACCGGUGGCGAAGGCGGGUCUCUGGGCAGUAACUGACGCUGAGGAGCGAAAGCGUGGGGAGCGAACAGGAUUAGAUACCCUGGUAGUCCACGCCGUAAACGGUGGGUACUAGGUGUGGGUUCCUUCCUUGGGAUCCGUGCCGUAGCUAACGCAUUAAGUACCCCGCCUGGGGAGUACGGCCGCAAGG
rnacentral:rRNA from 1 species